rnacentral:lncRNA from 1 species
GGAGAACAAAAUACUCAUGGAAGGAAAAACGGGGGCAAAGAUUAGAGCAGGGACUGAAGAAAAGAUCAUCCAGAGACUGCCCCACCUGGGGAUCCAUCCAUGAAGCCACCAAAUCCAGUUACUAUAGCUAAUGCCAAUAAAUGCCUGCUGACAGGAGCCAGAAAUGUGUAUCCCCUGAGAGUCUCUGCCAGAGCCCUAUUGAUACAGAUGAUGUUGCUUGCAGCUAACCAUUGGAUUGAACAAGGGGACAUCAAUGGAGGAGUUAGAGAAAAGAUUGAAGGAGCUGUAGGAGUUUGCACCUCCAUAGGAAGAACAACAGUAUUAAUUAAUGAGUUCUCACCAGAGCUCCCAGGGACUAAACUAUCAACCAAUGAGAACACAUGGAGGAACUCAUGACUCCAGUCACAUAUGUAGCUGAGGAGGUCAUUGUCCAUCAAUAGAAGGAAAAGCCCUUGGUCCUGUGAAGGCUUGUUUCCCCAAUAUAGGGGAAUUCCAGGGUGUUAAGUUGGGAGUGGGUGUGUGGGAGUGGGAACAUCCAAAAAGAAGAAGGGGGGUUGGGGAUUUAGCUCAGUGGUAGAGCGCUUGCCUAGAAAGCACAAGGCCCUGGGUUUAGUCCUCAGCUCUGAAGGAAAAAAAAAAGAAAGAAAAGAAAAAGGGGGAGGUAGAGGGAGUAUGAGAGAGGGGGCAAAGGGGAUAACAUUUGAAAUGUAAAUACAUAAAAUAUCCAAGAAAAAUAAAA